rnacentral:rRNA from 1 species
UAGGGAAUCUUCCGCAAUGGACGCAAGUCUGACGGAGCAACGCCGCGUGAGUGAAGAAGGAUUUCGGUUCGUAAAACUCUGUUGUUAGAGAAGAACAGCGCAUAGAGUAACUGUUAUGCGUGUGACGGUAUCUAACCAGAAAGCCACGGCUAACUACGUGCCAGCAGCCGCGGUAAUACGUAGGUGGCAAGCGUUGUCCGGAUUUAUUGGGCGUAAAGCGAGCGCAGGCGGUAAAUUAAGUCUGAUGUGAAAGCCCCCGGCUCAACCGGGGAGGGUCAUUGGAAACUGGUUGACUUGAGUGCAGAAGAGGAGAGUGGAAUUCCAUGUGUAUCGGUGAAAUGCGUAGAUAUAUGGAGGAACACCAGUGGCGAAGGCGACUCUCUGGUCUGUAACUGACGCUGAGGCUCGAAAGCGUGGGUAGCAAACAGG